GCGCGAUUAGCUCAGUGGUAGAGCGCUUCGUUCACAUCGAAGAGGUCGCUGGUUCGAUCCCAGCAUCGCGCA
rnacentral:tRNA from 1 species